CAGUAGCCGCGGUAAUACGGAGGGUGCAAGCGUUAAUCGGAAUUACUGGGCGUAAAGCGCACGCAGGCGGUCUGACAAGUCAGAUGUGAAAUCCCCGGGCUUAACCUGGGAACUGCAUUUGAAACUGUCAGGCUGGAGUCUUGUAGAGGGGGGUGGAAUUCCAGGUGUAGCGGUGAAAUGCGUAGAGAUCUGGAGGAAUACCGGUGGCGAAGGCGGCCCCCUGGACAAAGACUGACGCUCAGGUGCGAAAGCGUGGGGAGCAAACAGGAUUAGAUACCCCGGUAGUCCCUGUCUCUUUACA
rnacentral:rRNA from 1 species